rnacentral:rRNA from 1 species
UACGUAGGGGGCAAGCGUUGUCCGGAUUUAUUGGGCGUAAAGAGCGUGUAGGCGGCCUGAAAGGUCAGCUGUGAAAACUCGAGGCUCAACCUCGAGACGUCGGUUGAAACCAUCUGGCUAGAGUCCGGAAGAGGAGUGUGGAAUUCCCGGUGUAGCGGUGAAAUGCGCAGAUAUCGGGAAGAACACCAAAGGCGAAGGCAGUGUCCUGGGGAGUACCUGACGCUCAGGUGCGAAAGCCAGGGGAGCGAACGGG